CCUAGCUCCAGAUUCCUCCCACACUGGACCUAGGAAACCCUCAGCACAGACAACACCCCUGCAUUCCCCACAUUGGACCCACACUCAGCCACUGCGGGCGAGGAGGGCACAAGGCCAGGUUCCCGAGAGCUCAGGAACAUGGAGCUGAUUCAGGACACCUCCCGCCCACCACUGGAGUACGUGAAGGGGGUUCCGCUCAUCAAGUACUUUGCAGAGGCACUGGGACCCCUGCAGAGCUUCCAGGCCCGGCCCGAUGACCUGCUCAUCAGCACCUACCCCAAGUCCGGCACCACCUGGGUGAGCCAGAUACUGGACAUGAUCUACCAGGGUGGCGACCUGGAGAAGUGUAACCGGGAUCCCAUCUACAUACGGGUGCCCUUCCUUGAGGCCAAUGAUCCAGGGGAACCCUCAGGGCUGGAGACUCUGAAAGACACACCGGCCCCACGGCUCAUCAAGUCACACCUGCCCCUGGCCCUGCUCCCCCAGACUCUGUUGGAUCAGAAGGUCAAGGUGGUCUAUGUUGCCCGAAACCCAAAGGAUGUGGCGGUCUCCUACUAUCAUUUCCACCGUAUGGAAAAGACGCACCCUGAGCCUGGGACCUGGGACAGCUUCCUGGAGAAGUUCGUGGCCGAAGAAGUGUCCUACGGGUCCUGGUACCAGCAUGUGCAGGAGUGGUGGGAGCUGAGCCACACCCACCCUGUUCUCUACCUCUUCUAUGAAGACAUGAAGGAGGAGCCUCUGCUCCUCAGAACCCCAAAAGGGAGAUUCAGAAGAUCCUGGAGUUUGUGGGGCGCUCCCUGCCAGAGGAGACCGUGGACCUCAUGGUUCAACACACGUCAUUCAGGGAGAUGAAGAAGAACCCUAUGACCAACUACACCACCGUCCCCCAGGAGUUCAUGGACCACAGUAUCUCCCCCUUCAUGAGGAAAGGCAUGGCUGGGGACUGGAAGACCACCUUCACCGUGGCGCAGAAUGAGCGCUUCGAUGCGGACUAUGCGGAGAAGAUGGCAGGCUGCAGCCUCAGCUUCCGCUCUGAGCUGUGAGAGCGGCUCCCGGGGUCACUGCAGAGGGAGUGUGCGAAUCUACCCUGACCAAUGGGCUCAAGAAUAAAGUAUGAUUUUUGAGUCAGGCACAGUGGCUCACGUCUGCAAUCCAAGCGAUUUGGGAGGCUGAGCUGGGAGGAUCGCAAUAGGCCACACAUUUGAGACCAGCCUGGUAAAAUAGUGAGACCUCAUCUCUACAAAGAUGUAAUGUAAUUAGCCACAUGUGCUGGCACUUACCUGUAGUCCCAGCUACUUGGGAAGCAGAGGCUGGAGGAUCAUUUCAGCCCAGGAGGUUGUGGAUACCGUGAGUUACGAUUAUGCCCAUACACUACAGCCUGGAUGACAAGCAAGACCCUCCCUCCAAAGAAAAUAAAUUUCAAUUAAAAUAAAA